rnacentral:rRNA from 1 species
UCAAUGCUCGCAAGAGUGAACUAGCUAACUGAAAUCCUCGAUGUGUCAUCGGGGAUAAGGUAAGGGAAAAUAAUGAUAUUACCUUAUUAAUAGUGUCGUCCAACAACUCGUGCCAGAAGACUCGGUAAGGCGAGAGACACAAACGUUAAUCGUCUUGAUCUGGCGUAAAGGGUUUGUAGGCGGCUUUAAGUAUCCUUUUUUUUAGUUUAUUUUUAUAAAAUUAUAUACUAUAUUUAGUAAUAGUUUUGUAUUAUAUAUUAAAAGAUCAAUUAAAGCUAGAAUCUAAAAGAGGUUAAAACAAUGCUUGAUUACAGGUGUACUAACCGUAAACAACUAGUAGAGUGUUAAGGGCGAAGGCUUUUUUCCAAUAAAGAUUGACGCUGAGAAACGAAGGUGAGGAAAGAAAAAAGGAUUAGAGACCCUUGUAUCCCUCACUGUCAACGAUGAAUGGUAGUUACUAGAGAGAAAUAAUCUAGAGACAAUGUUAACACGAAAACCAUUCCGCCUUGUGAGUACGACUGCAAAGUUGAAAACAAAAAAAUUAGUCGGUUUCGGAGCAAACGAAGUGAAGCAUGUUA